UGAAGAUGACAUCUAUGGAAUCUUUUCCUUGCAAUUGAUGCAUUCUUUAGUCCAGUAAUAUCAUCUCACUUUGUAUCCAAGACAUUCUCUCUGUUCAUGUAGAAUUCAGGAAUGAUAUAAAAAGAAAGGAAGAUGAGAUGAAGAGAACAGUGCCUACCCUCAAAGAGAUCCUAAUCCAUUCGUGCAUGUUUGGGAGGAAGACAAAGAAAGAAACUUCCAAAUGUAUUACUGUAUGCAUAUUUGUGAUUAAGAAUCCUGCUGAGAUGACACUUGGUGGUUCGAAAAGCCAAGUGUUUCUGCAUUUCCGCAGAGCCUGCAUCGUGAACCUACUGUGUGCAAAGUGCCUGGAAGCCCUUGAGGAUGGGAAGAUUAAGGCCUCCUCGUGGUUUCUCUGGUGCCAGCAGACUCCGGAGGAAAGAGACAAGCAAACAGGAGCCUUGCAGGAGGGGUGAGGGCAAACCUUGAAGUUGAAUGAAGGGAAUUGCAUCCGUUCUCCAUGAUGGCUGAAGAAGGUGUGGAGGAGGGAAGCCACAUGUGGAUGGAACCUUUUUGAAGCAUAAACAUUUGGGUACACUCUAAGAUUUGGAACAAUCUUCACCAUGAUCAGGAAAUAUGUUAUAUUGCAGUAUCCCCUACUGUGCCUAAAAAUGUAAUGUGUUCACUUUGUCUUACAAUUGAUUUCUAAUGACUUCAAACUUAUGUAUCUUCUUUGUGUCUUAAAGUAAAUUUCAAAUAAUGGAAUGUCAAGCAUCAGAAUAGAGGGGUAGAGGUGUACGUAUAUUGCAAUUAUGUCCUUGAUACUGAUUUAAGUAAUCACUUCCUAACUGUACUCUAACAUUGUUAUAGAUUAUGAACUCUGGUGAAUUUUAUAGCUGCCACCUUUGUCUGCCUGAUCCUAUACUCUUAAAUCUAUCCAGUCCACAUAAGCAUGAAGUGGAACAAAGAAAACCAGUACAAACUAAACUUACAUCUCCAGCAUUACAUCACAAAGUUCCAGACCCCCUCAAUAUCUCCUGAAUAGGUUCAUGCUCUUACUCAGUUCUGCUGCAUAACAAGUUCUUGAGCUCUCAGAGUUCUCUCUCACUUCUAGAACUCAUGUUGUUGUGGCAUGUAGAAUUUAACUGCUGCAUCUUAAAUAUGCUACUUUUUGUAGGACAUAGUUGGAGCUCACACUCUUUCUCUUCUUUAGAUAUUUGAGUCAAUGAACUGUUUUCAACAAGUAUGAAUAAUUGCUGUUUUUCAGAUACCUUCUGCUUAAUUUAGG